rnacentral:rRNA from 1 species
GACGGAGGAUGCAAGUGUUAUCCGGAAUCACUGGGCGUAAAGCGUCUGUAGGUGGUCAAAUAAGUCAACUGUUAAAUCUUGAGGCUCAACCUCAAAAUCGCAGUCGAAACUAUUAGACUAGAGUAUAGUAGGGGUAAAGGGAAUUUCCAGUGGAGCGGUGAAAUGCGUAGAGAUUGGAAAGAGCACCGAUGGCGAAGGCACUUUACUGGGCUAUUACUAACACUGAGAGACGAAAGCUAGGGUAGCAAAUGGG